GCAACUCGCCUGCAUGAACGUGGAGUUGCUAGUAACCGUAGGUCAGAACACUACGGUGAAUACGUUCUCGGGUCUUGUACACACCGCCCGUCAAGUCAUGGAAGUCGGUAACACUUGAAGUCGUCGAGCCAACCCUUUUGGGAGGCAGAUGCCGAGAGUGGGACUGGUGACUGGGACUAAGUCGUAACAAGGUAGCUGUAGCGGAAGCUGCGGCUGGAUCACCUCCUUUUAAGGGAG
rnacentral:rRNA from 1 species